rnacentral:piRNA from 1 species
UCCGUUCCGUGUGACGAUUCCUUGUGUCU